GAUUUCUGGUACGGUGCGCUUGGUCCGCCCAGUUUACCUGUGGUGUGUACCGAUGCGCGCCUACCAUCCUUCUGGGGAGCCAGCCUACCCUUCACUGGGCCGGGUUGGCGACCUAGAUCGUUUACUUUGAAAAAAUUAGAGUGUUUAAAGCAGGCAAUUUGCUCUGAAUACAUUAGCAUGGAAUAAUAAGAUAGGACUUUGGUUCUAUUUUGUUGGUUUCUAGGACCGAAGUAAUGAUUGAUAGGGACAGUUGGGGGUGCUAGUAUUCAGUGGCCAGAGGUGAAAUUCUUGGAUUCACUGAAGACUAACUUAUGCGAAAGCAUU
rnacentral:rRNA from 1 species